GGUUAAGCGACUAAGCGUACACGGUGGAUGCCCUGGCAGUCAGAGGCGAUGAAGGACGUGCUAAUCUGCGAUAAGCGUCGGUAAGGUGAUAUGAACCGUUAUAACCGGCGAUUUCCGAAUGGGGAAACCCAGUGUGUUUCGACACACUAUCAUUAACUGAAUCCAUAGGUUAAUGAGG
rnacentral:rRNA from 1 species